rnacentral:snRNA from 1 species
AUGCUUGCUUUGGCAGCACAUAUACUAAACCUGGAAUGAUACAGAGAAGAUUACCAUGGCCCCUGCACACGGAUGACAUGCAAAUUCAUGAAGCAUUCCAUAGUUUU